rnacentral:rRNA from 1 species
GACGAACGCUGGCGGCGUGCUUAACACAUGCAAGUCGAACGCUGAAGCUUGGUGCUUGCCCUGGGUGGAUGAGUGGCGAACGGGUGAGUAAUACGUGAGUAACCUGCCCUUGACUCUGGGAUAAGCCUGGGAAACUGGGUCUAAUACUGGAUACGACAUGUCACCGCAUGGUGGUGUGUGGAAAGGGUUUUACUGGUUUUGGAUGGGCUCACGGCCUAUCAGCUUGUUGGUGGGGUAAUGGCUCACCAAGGCGACGACGGGUAGCCGGCCUGAGAGGGUGACCGGCCACACUGGGACUGAGACACGGCCCAGACUCCUACGGGAGGCAGCAGUGGGGAAUAUUGCACAAUGGGCGGAAGCCUGAUGCAGCGACGCCGCGUGAGGGAUGACGGCCUUCGUGUUGUAAACCUCUUUCAGCACGGAAGAAGCGAAAGUGACGGUACGUGCAGAAGAAGCGCCGGCUAACUACGUG